rnacentral:tRNA from 1 species
GCGGGUGUAGCUCAGUUGGUAGAGCAUCAGCUUCCCAAGCUGGAGGUCGCGAGUUCGAUUCUCGUCGCCCGCU